GACAAUAUAGUUUAAUUGGUAAAACAAUGGUCUCCAAAACCAUAAUUGUAGGUUCGAUCCCUUCUAUUGUCG
rfam:Lingula anatina scaffold136, whole genome shotgun sequence.